UACGUAGGGGGCUAGCGUUGUCCGGAAUCAUUGGGCGUAAAGCGCGUGUAGGCGGCGCGGUAAGUCCGCUGUGAAAGUCGGGGGCUCAACCCUCGGAUGCCGGUGGAUACUGUCGGGCUAGAGUACGGAAGAGGCGAGUGGAAUUCCUGGUGUAGCGGUGAAAUGCGCAGAUAUCAGGAGGAACACCGAUUGCGAAGGCAGCUCGCUGGGACGUUACUGACGCUGAGACGCGAAAGCGUGGGGAGCAAACAGG
rnacentral:rRNA from 1 species